rnacentral:rRNA from 1 species
GGAGUCUGGUCCGUGUCUCAGUACCAGUGUGGGGGAUAAGCCUCUCAGCUCCCCUAGACAUCGUCGGCUUGGUGGGCCGUUGCCCCGCCAACUACCUAAUCAGACGCAUCCCCAUCCCAUAGCGGUGAACCUUUGUUCCAAAUCAGAUGUCAUCUUCGGAAAACAUAGGGUAUUAAUCCGCAUUUCUACGGGCUAUGCCCUACUAUGGGGAAGGUUGGAUACGCGUUACUCACCCGUGCGCCGGUCGCCAUCAUUGGUAGCAAGCUACCAAUAUGCUGCCCCUCGACUUGCAUGUGUUAAGCCUGUAGCUAGCGUUCAUC